rnacentral:rRNA from 3 species
GCUAGGGGGCCAUCCCGGCUUACCAACCCGAUGCAAACUGCGAAUACCGGAGAAUGUUAUCACGGGAGACACACGGCGGGUGCUAACGUCCGUCGUGAAGAGGGAAACAACCCAGACCGCCAGCUAAGGUCCCAAAGUCAUGGUUAAGUGGGAAACGAUGUGGGAAGGCCCAGACAGCCAGGAUGUUGGCUUAGAAGCAGCCAUCAUUUAAAGAAAGCGUAAUAGCUCACUGGUCGAGUCGGCCUGCGCGGAAGAUGUAACGGGGCUAAACCAU